GAGGGAGAAGGGACGCGGGAUCAGAGGAGGCUGAGGCACGGAGAGUGAAAGAUGGAGAAGUGGGACAAGUGCGGUCAGACGUCGACAGCGAUGCAGCGAGAACUCGACCCACAACUGAGGGAGGAAGAAUGAGAGGCGAGGAUGACUGUCACACAUGCAGAUGCGUUAACGAUGGACAGUUGUGGAGGUGGCUCAGAGAACCUGCAAGUGAACCAGGCACAGCUGAGAGUAGCUGACCAAUCAACUCUCCCUGGAUUCAAAACGCAGCAGCUGCCAGAGAGGGACUGAGACAUGAGGGGAACACACAUGGUGUGAGACAAGGACAGAACCGAGCUGCAAAGCCGAGGUGCCAGCUGAAAUAGCUGUUAAGAGUUUUGUGAGUUUGUGUUUGAUUUAAUAAAGAUGCUGAAAA